GAUGAACGCUGGCGGCGUGCCUAAUACAUGCAAGUCGAGCGAACAGACGAGGAGCUUGCUCCUCUGACGUUAGCGGCGGACGGGUGAGUAACACGUGGAUAACCUACCUAUAAGACUGGGAUAACUUCGGGAAACCGGAGCUAAUACCGGAUAACAUGUUGAACCGCAUGGUUCAACAGUGAAAGACGGUCUUGCUGUCACUUAUAGAUGGAUCCGCGCCGCAUUAGCUAGUUGGUAAGGUAACGGCUUACCAAGGCAACGAUGCGUAGCCGACCUGAGAGGGUGAUCGGCCACACUGGAACUGAGACACGGUCCAGACUCCUACGGGAGGCAGCAGUAGGGAAUCUUCCGCAAUGGGCGAAAUCCUGACGGAGCAACGCCGCGUGAGUGAAGAAGGUCUUCGGAUCGUAAAACUCUGUUAUUAGGGAAGAUCAAAUGUGUAAGUAACUAUGCACGUCUUGACGGUACCUAAUCAGAAAGCCACGGCUAACUACGUG
rnacentral:rRNA from 1 species